rnacentral:rRNA from 1 species
AUUGAACGCUGGCGGAAUGCUUUACACAUGCAAGUCGAACGGCAGCACGGACUUCGGUCUGGUGGCGAGUGGCGAACGGGUGAGUAAUGUAUCGGAGCGUGCCCAGUCGUGGGGGAUAACGUAGUGAAAAUUACGCUAAUACCGCAUACGAUCUAUGGAUGAAAGCGGGGGAUCGCAAGACCUCGCGCGAUUGGAGCGGCCGAUAUCAGAUUAGGUAGUUGGUGGGGUAAAGGCCCACCAAGCCAACGAUCUGUAGCUGGUCUGAGAGGACGACCAGCCACACUGGAACUGAGACACGGUCCAGACUCCUACGGGAGGCAGCAGUGGGGAAUUUUGGACAAUGGGCGAAAGCCUGAUCCAGCCAUUCCGCGUGCAGGAUGAAGGCCCUCGGGUUGUAAACUGCUUUUGUACAGAACGAAAAGGUUUCUACUAAUACUAGGAGCUCAUGGCGGUACUGUAAGAAUAAGCACCGGCUAACUACGUGCCAGCAGCCGCAGUAA